AUGGCCGACGCGAGUCAAAGUAGUAGUACCUCUUCUUAUCAGCUUAAUAUCUCAUACGGGUUGUAUUCGGACCCAAGAUAAUAAACUUAUUUUUGCAACUUGGCGAAGUGCUUGAAGCCUGCUUUACCUCUCCUGCGGGUCGGCCCGGUAUUUCAUGCACUAUCUUCGGGAUAAUAAUAAUAAUU